UGGGGAAUCUUGGACAAUGUGGGCAACCCUGAUCCAGCGACGCCGCGUGGGUGACGAAGGCCUUCGGGUUGUAAAGCCCUUUCACCGGGGACGAUGAUGACGGUACCCGGAGAAGAAGCACCGGCUAACUCCGUGCCAGCAGCCGCGGUAAUACGGAGGGUGCGAGCGUUAAUCGGAAUUACUGGGCGUAAAGCGCAUGCAGGUGGUUUGUUAAGUCAGAUGUGAAAGCCCGGGGCUCAACCUCGGAAUAGCAUUUGAAACUGGCAGACUAGAGUACUGUAGAGGGGGGUAGAAUUUCAGGUGUAGCGGUGAAAUGCGUAGAGAUCUGAAGGAAUACCGGUGGCGAAGGCGGCCCCCUGGACAGAUACUGACACUCAGAUGCGAAAGCGUGGGGAGCAAACAGGAUUAGAUACCCCCGUAGUCC
rnacentral:rRNA from 1 species